rnacentral:sRNA from 2 species
GUAUCUGAAGCCUGACGAGGAUGAGAACCUCCGGGGCAAGAGGUUCGACUCGAGCGAAGCGAGAGAACGUUGCGUCAGCAACGGCCCGCAGUGGCAAGUCAUCCUCUGUCACCGGCAG